rnacentral:rRNA from 1 species
CACGUAGGGGGCGAGCGUUGUCCGGAAUCAUUGGGCGUAAAGAGCUCGUAGGCGGCUCGGUAAGUCGGGUGUGAAACCCCCAGGCUCAACCUGGGGACGCCACCCGAUACUGCUGUGGCUAGAGUCCAGUAGGGGAGUGUGGAAUUCCCGGUGUAGCGGUGAAAUGCGCAGAUAUCUGGAGGAACACCGGUGGCGAAGGCGGCAUCCUGGACCAACACUGACGCUGAGUGAGCGAAAGCCAGGGGAGCAAACGGG